rnacentral:rRNA from 1 species
UACGAAGGGGGCUAGCGUUGCUCGGAAUUACUGGGCGUAAAGCGCACGUAGGCGGAUUGUUAAGUCGGGGGAUGAAAUCCUGGAGCUCAACUCCAGAACUGCCUUCGAAACUGGCGAUCUUGAGUUCGGGAGAGGUGAGUGGAACUGCGAGUGUAGAGGUGAAAUUCGUAGAUAUUCGCAAGAACACCAGUGGCGAAGGCGGCUCACUGGGUCAUUACUGACGCUGAGGAGCGAAAGCGUGGGGAGCAAACAGG